rnacentral:rRNA from 1 species
GAUGGAACACCAACAAAUGAUCCUCAUGAUAGGGCUUACAUUAACCUUCCCAAAAAUCACCACGUCCUUAGAAAAGUUAGGGACUGUCUCCACUAUGGAGCAUUGCGGUUUCAAUACGAGGGAUCUGCAUUUUGUUGCAGAAAGGGGAAAGUAGAUUUAUUUACUCCCGAGGUCCCAGACGAGUUGAAACGGUUGUUCACAAGUCAACGUGAUGACGAUGCUAAACAUUUUCGAGACAAUAUAUGGUAUUUCAACUCUCACUUCUCAUUCACAAGUCUUGGAGUCACCCUUGAUCGUCGAGUAAGCACUGCAGUAGGAACCGGUGUAUAUACCUUUCGUGCUUGUGGGGGGUUGUACCAUGCUCUUGAUGAGCUGGUGCCGACUGAUAAUGGCCCUAGGCAUUUGCAACUCUAUAUUUAUGAUACAGAUCAUAACUUGGUGCACAGGACUAAUAGGUCUCCAGAUCUAGAUAUAGAUCUCAUACGGAAAAUUCUGGGAAUACUAGAGCAGAACCCUUAUGCACGGGCUUUCAAGAGCCUUGGGUCUGUUCCGAAUCUAGAUGAGUACAAGAUCUCACUAAACACAGAUAUCAAGUUGGAUCAACGUAGGUACAAUGCCCCAACGACUUCUCAGGUGGCAGCGAUAUGGGUUGAAGGGAGCGACCCACAAAACUGUUUUGACAGGAGUGUUGUCGUGCAUGCCAAAAAAGGAGACCGACCACUCUAUAUUAGAGCGUACUAUGGGUGCUAUGACCCAUUGUCAUAUCCACUGUUUUUCCCACGUGGGGAGACUGGUUGGAAUCGUUGGAUGCCGUAUGUUCAUGCCCCCGAUGACACCACCCAAUUUCCAGCGCAUAAUUCUGGACCGCAAGAAAACCGCACCUCUGAUUUACAUACAGGUAUGAUGUUCAUUAUUAAUUCGUUAUCUACUUACUAUCUUUAA